rnacentral:rRNA from 1 species
ACGCUCGACACCUACGGGGGGCAGCAGUGGGGAAUAUUGCACAAUGGGGGAAACCCUGAUGCAGCGACGCCGCGUGGAGGAAGAAGGUCUUCGGAUUGUAAACUCCUGUUGUUGGGGAAAAAGAGGAUGGUACCCAACAAGGAAGUGACGGCUAACUACGUGCCAGCAGCCGGGUAAUCUGAGCGGGCUGGCAAGGC